rnacentral:tRNA from 1 species
GGUUACGGCUCAUUGGUAGAGCGCUUGCCUAGCAUGCAUGAGGCACUGGGUUUGAUCCUCAGCACCA